UGUCAAAGCUACCCACACAUCAGCCUAAAUCUGGUUGGCUUUGAACUGGCAAGAGCUGGAAAAGGACGAAAGGAAACCUGUCAACCUCAGCAAUGUCCAGGAGUUUGUUUGCAGAACCCUCAACUGCACCAGAAGUACAGGACGUCUCUCCAGAGGUUGAGAGAGUACCAACAGACAACAUUUGGAGGAAGAGCAGAUUGGCGAUCUCUGUGGUCCCAGCAAGACGAAGAGUAUGAAGAGUCUUUUUUAGCAGACCAAGAAAAUAAGGAGAAUGCAGUCCCAUUACCCUUGGAAUGAUACUGGAAUUUGCUUCUGGAGCAUCCACGGUACCUCCACUGGGCUUUCACCAUCGUCCACAAAUUGAAUUCCUCCAUGAGUCUAACAGAGUCUUCCCAGAAGCAAAUACUUGCCUGAUAGUACUCUGCCUUCCUGUACACCCAGACUAUGAGUCUUUCACAAAGUACAUGACAGACGGGGUGCUGCAGGGACCUACCUUUGGUGUUGCAUAAUCAGCUAAUAACUGUAAUAAGCAUUUCUUUUAAAAUAGAGUUGGAAUGUUUUGAAAAGUUAAGUAUUUUAAAGCAAGUUAUAGUAAAGGUAAUGUAAUGGCCGAAAUAUUGGAAUGUAAAUACAAUAUUGGCUUCUCUUGUUUUUUGCAAAGAAUAGGAGUCUUUUUAACCACUUUUUGGUUUCACAAUUUAAAGGUGUACAUUUAAGCCACACUGCAAAUCAAAAGGUCUACUCUGGUAAUGAACACUGCUCAAUUGCUCUCCAGAAUGUGUAAUUAAUUUGUCAUAUCUUUAAACACCUUAACAUUUAUAAUUAAAUCUGAAAGGUUACCUACUCAUGUCAAUUCUGAGUUUUAUUUGUAGUAAUUGUAGCUUUAGAACAAUGCAUUUGAUCAAAUGUUCUGUGACAUGUACUUAAAUCAAUAAAGCAUUUGCAGUUUCUGCACAACAGGCCUGGUAUUUCUCCUUCAGAUCUGAAAUAUGAUUGACUGCAAGAUUAAAUGACUGAGGUCGGUGCCAACUGAGCCUGGUCCGAGGUGGUUCUACAACUACACUAGGAACCUCUUCAGCAACAGUGGUUGGUAGUGGCCAAAGGCCAUGCUGUUGCAGAGUCUCUGAUUAGCUGGAACUUUCACCAAACACGUUGUUAGUUGCUGUGCUGUUUGCCAACAUCCGUUCAGUGCAGAUUUCUGUUGGUGUUUUAUUGUUUUCUGUAUGCAAGGAAUGGUGGUUCCACGCCUUUCUGAAUUGUUCCAGUCGGUUUUGAAUCUCAGGAAGAAAAACUAUGUGAAGAGAAAGUUUGUGCACAUCAUUGCUGGGAUCCAAGAGGGCUGAAUCUUUAAGAUUAUAAAAUGUGCUAUAAAAUGGUUCCAGAACAUGUAAAACCACAUCCCUCCAAAGACGCUCAACUCUGAUUAUGGAUGGAUUCCCCAGUUAGAUGACUCCGACGUUCAUCACCAGUGCCACAUUCUCUCCACUAUGGUCUGACCUCACUCUAGAAGGUAAACCAUAGAGGCCUGUUGCCUUGAGAAAAUGAAAUAGCACUGUUGAGGUGUGAUUGUCUGUGCUGCAGUUCAAGUAGGUAACUAAGCGAGAACAUCCAUUGAUGCCACCAUGGACCACAAAGCCCCACCUUGGGCCAAAUGAAAGUCGAUCUGCUCUUUUAUAAUAUGAAUAACUGGUCUACCUCGACCACCUAAAAUAGAAUCAUAUUUUAGGUGGUCUUAGCAUAAUGUUUACUUUAUACAUCUGUUUUUUUCUGUUUGUCUAUAUCUGUCUAUCCUCUGCAGGUGUCCCUGUAUCUCCUAAAGGUGACACUAUGCAUUUCACACUGUGUAUAAAUUUAUUUUGAUAUACAUAAUUUCCUGUUACAAAUGCAUGAACACAAAGCUUUCAACUUUUAUAGACGCUGGAAA